rnacentral:sRNA from 1 species
AUUGCCCGCAAACAAGUGGAAAUCGCCCAGCAGGAGGGGGCCAAGUAUGUGUCCCACGGCGCCACGGGAAAGGGGAACGAUCAGGUCCGGUUUGAGCUCAGCUGCUACUCACUGGCCCCCCAGAUAAAGGUCAUUGCUCCCUGGAGGAUGCCCGAAUUCUACAACCGGUUCAAGGGCCGCAAUGACCUGAUGGAAUACGCAAAGCAACACGGGAUUCCCAUCCCGGUCACUCCCAAGAACCCAUGGAGCAUGGACGAGAACCUCAUGCACAUCAGCUACGAGGCUGGAAUCCUGGAGAACCCCAAGAACCAAGCGCCUCCAGGUCUCUACACGAAGACCCAGGACCCAGCCAAAGCCCCCAACACCCCUGACAUUCUCGAGAUCGAGUUCAAAAAAGGGGUCCCUGUGAAGGUGACCAACGUCAAGGAUGGCACCACCCACCAGACCUCCUUGGAGCUCUUCAUGUACCUGAACGAAGUCGCGUGAGUGUCUGCAGCCCUGUCCGGCCUCCUGGGAACCGCUGUCUCGGGCGAGCAUGAGCCUGGACCGUUGCAGCUAAUGGUUGUGGCUGAGCCUCAGG